rnacentral:rRNA from 1 species
UACGGGGGGCAAGGCAGUGUUCGGAAUUACUGGGCGUAAAGGGCUCGUAGGUGGCCAACUAAGUCAGACGUGAAAUCCCUCGGCUUAACCGGGGAACUGCGUCUGAUACUGGAUGGCUUGAGUUUGGGAGAGGGACGCGGAAUUCCAGGUGUAGCGGUGAAAUGCGUAGAUAUCAUUUGGAACGCCAACGGUGAAAACAGCUCGCUGGGGACCUGCUGACGCUGGAGACACGAAAGCCAGGGGAGCGAACGGG